rnacentral:lncRNA from 1 species
CUGAAUUAUCUAGCAUUUAAAACCCUCCUCUUUUUACAUUGAAACCUCUCAUUCAGUUGGCAUGCCUUUGGCUGUAGCGAGAGAGGUGAGGAUCCAGCCUUAUCCUGUUCUCUCCGCAGUGCUCCACGGCGGCUGCCAGUGAGCCCUGUCCCUCUCCCGCAGAUCUGAGAAGCGCUCCAUUGUCACCUCAAUUCUUGAGCUUAUCUGGGUAUCUCCAGCACACCCUGUUUAUGUCUUCUUCUGUGCCCGGGGCUACUCUGAAAGUUGUCCUGCACCUGAGUGUCCGGCGGCCCUGCCUGAGACACCCCCUCCUUGUGGAGCAGCUUAACAAUUGCAUCAGCUUUCUCCUGUGCUGAUUCUUCAUGAGAACGUUGCCAAGG